GCUUCUGCUCUUAGUGCCUUCCAGAAAUGUUUCUUUAAUAACAUACAUUAAUAUUAAAGAAAGAGAAGGAAAAUUGGGAGGAAGAGAAGGAGGGGUUUGUUAUUUUUUCUGACCCAAUUUCCAUCCAUCACUUCAAUUACGUUCCCAGAGACAGAUGAACUCUGCAUCCCUUUUCCCUCCGAUACCUUCUGUACAACUCCAUAUGGAUCUUCAAAAAAUCCUGUCUUGCUGCUCAACCUUCCCUCCCUGUUCUCUGUCUGCAUGAGUGCCCUAUUUCUAUUCCUUAUUUCUUGGUAAUUGUAUUCAAACACACUCUUUGUUCUUUGUUUGCUAACCUGCAUUUUUUUCCUCUAGUCAGCUUAUCCCUUUUUUAGUCCUUUUGAUUAAAGUUCUCAAUUCAUUUAGUAUCUUUCUGUUUCUCCCCAGUCCUUCUAAAGUGAAACUAUAAAGCACUGCAGGGAAUGCUUGUAUUUACCUCCCAAUUCUCUUAGCCAAGCUUUCAAGGCUGACUUGUGAGCUGUAUACUAGUACAUCUUAAAAGUUUCCAGUCCUACACUGAGACAUUCUCUGGCAAUAGCAAUAGCUUUACUCUUUACACCAUCAUAGUCUUUUAGAAUUGUGAUUUGCUGCUGCUUAAGACCUUUUCUGAUGAUCAUACAAACUGAAUAACCUGCACAAUUAGGAUUGAACAUCUUUGUGCACUGGCAGCAUAACUGGCAGGAGAGGUGACGGCUUGCUACACCGUGCGUUUUUCAAUGCACACAUUAUGUCGUAGUUUUCUAUCUACUGUCUGUCUGAGGUAGCAGGAAAAUUGGAGGAGUGUUAGCCUGUAAUUCUCCUAGGAUUUAUCUUACAUUUUUAAACAAAAACUAGGGGAAACAGCAAAGAAGUGUGCAUCAUAGUCGGCUCGGUCUGAUUGGGGCUUUUAUUGUUACUCUAAAUGAUCAUUUUUCUUUUCUUCACAGGCAACAGGCUGGUUUGCAGCCUAGAUGUGUUUCUACCCACCACAUCAAUACCAAUUAGGACCACUGGAGUCUCACUUCCAAAGCAGAAGGGUAAAUGGAUUCUACAUAGAAGAGAAUUAUUCUGGGUAACACUCAAUUCCAUACAUAAUAAUCAUUUCUUUCUAAAUCAUUUGCACCAGUAAAUUACUACUCUUCUGAAAUGGAAUUUGACAUCUUUUUUGCAGUCAUAAGUGAAGGCAUAUUUAGUUGGGAGAAUCUCAGUGGAAGCUCAGCACUGAGCUGAAACCAAACACUGACUGAAACAGUUCUCUGCUCUGUGUGAUCACCCAAACAAUUUGCCCCAGCCACAGAUCAUGCUUCCGGGCAGCGUCAUUUUGUGAGUAGUUAUCUUCAUCAUUUUUUGCACUGCUUUAGGGUAUACUCAGGCUCUUUCCUGAUAUCCAGAGGAGGGCUGUCUAAUUGUUGCUUUUGCGUCUUUCACUCAGAUACUAUGGUAUUUGAUGGAUUUAUACUAAGUGUAUUUAUCAGAAAUGUCUGCAUUUCUAACACCCCAUAAAGAUUUUCAAAAUAUCUUAUUAAAAUAAAUGUAUCAACAAGCUCA
rnacentral:lncRNA from 1 species